rnacentral:misc_RNA from 1 species
CGGACUACUGGGGUUUCUAAUCCUGUUUGAUACCCACGCUUUCGUGCAUGAGCGUCAGUAUCGACCCAGGGGGCUGCCUUCGCCAUCGGUAUUCCUCCACAUAUCUACGCAUUUCACUGCUACACGUGGAAUUCUACCCCCCUCUGCCGUACUCUAGCCUUGCAGUCACAAAUGCAGUUCCCAGGUUAAGCCCGGGGAUUUCACAUCUGUCUUACAAAACCGCCUGCGCACGCUUUACGCCCAGUAAUUCCGAUUAACGCUCGCACCCUACGUAUUACCGCGGCUGCUGGCACCA